AAUUUUGGGGUCGGGAUGGGGGGGGGGGGGUUUGGAGGGUGAGUGACAAAUGGAUGACAUUGAUGUUUUGAUUUGGUGAUAAAUAUUGAGGGUGAGCAGGGGGCGGGAGUUCAACUUUUGUUGCUCUUUCUGGUGUACAUACACAUCCUGCCUGGAGAACCUGUCCAAACUAUAUAGAGCUCAGUCCAAUACCUUGUACCCCUUACAGAUUGUAGGGUGAAUUUGGUAGGAACUGUCUAAAACCAUAUUUUCUGGGCAGAAUGUGCUUUUCUUCCCAUACAUUUCCCAUCAGGUCUGUCUACAGUGACCGUGCUGCUAGUGGGUGUCUGACUCUGAUCUCAGCUAACUCUAACUAAAGCCUCUGGGAAAUGGAGUCUAUCCAUGCUCCAAAAGGUUUCAAUCUCUUGACCAAGUAUUGAACCCCUACUACGAGGAAAUUGGGCCUUACAUUUAUGCUGUCACUCUCUGAUGUUGAAGAGUCUUAAGGGAAUCAAAAACGUCCCCUCCUUAUGAACGUGUCCCUCUCACCUGACAGUACCGGUCACUGUAGCCUGUCCCCCUACACCCCAUCUCCUGAUCUGUAAAGUGUAAGAUGUUGGUGAUGACCUUUUCUCCAUAAUGGAUGCCCCCCCACACUCUCCAUGCUCUGUAUCUUUCAUCUUGUGGGUGGGGGGAACUGACCUGCAUCAAUCUUUCUUUAGUUUUUGCAAAGCCUUGUCAAGUGCCUCUAGUAAUUUCCUGGAUUUGAAUAAACAAAUGAACCCAUUUGGAACAUGAGCGCUAAAUAAAGAGGUGUUGUGUACAAUAAAGAGACUGGUGGUUGGUGUCUCCUUGUGUCUUGUGUGGUCCCCCCUCUCUCCUCUCUCAUUGGUUGUCCUCAUGGUUCUCUCUCCUGGUAUGCCUUCCUCUCUUCUUCCCCCUCCUUCACUGUGGAUGUUGCUAUGGUGUUUCUGUGCCAAUGGGCUGCUUGCCUUUUGACUUGAGUUAAAAGUGGAAUGAAAUUUGUGAAGGACAAGAAUUCCUGGAAUAAUAACUUAUUCAUUCUUCUUUUUUCUUCCUUCCUGAUGUUUCUCUGAAUACAAGGCGGCCUGCUCCUGCUCGUCGUAACCAGUGGUGACCUUGCCCCAAAGCAGGAUAGGAUUGGGGAUGCACUGUCCACAAACCAGCAAGAGAACCAGACCUGCGAAGAAUCAUAAACCUUGAACACCUUAACCUUAAAUAUUCUCCAAAGAAUAGGUUUCGGAGCUGAUUAAACUCUAAAAGCCAUAACUUAGUUUAUAACAUGAAAUACAAGAGGCAGCUUUUUCAAUGGCAACUGUCAAACAUACUCGUUCUACAAUAACUGACGGCAUUUCAGGAAAAUCAGCCUCCUUUAAAAGUUUUUUUUCAUAAAGUGAAAUUGAGAUAAAAACAGCUGCAUUGGGCCUUUAAUAGCUGGCACCUACCCAGACUGUUCUAGAAGUGUGGGGGAUGUAUUCUGAAAACUCCAACCCCUCCAGGGGGUUUAGCGAGCUGUAGCCUGGCUGAAUUCUGACACCACUCUCAGUACGGGUUCAACUUCUGUUCACUAUUUCCAUACGAAACAAACAUUGAGAAAAUGAAAUUAUUUUCGUAUUGAUAAAAUUGUGUGCCAAAUUCGUAAUGAAAUCCAGUGAUUGUUUGUGUUAGCUAUCUCCUGGGGCAUAACCUCUCCUCUUGGUUUUAUGUGCAGUGCAGUUUUAAAAUACGGGUAUUUCUCAACAGAUUAGUGUCUGAAUGACUAUUGAACACGUUUGUAGAACACUCCUAUAAAAAUGAUUGAAGUGUAGAAGUUUGGUUUAUUUAGAUGAUUGUAAAUACAUUGUGUGUAGGUGGAACUGUAGAUUAUUUGAGAUCUCACUCAUACUGCAUUGUGUUCGAUGCUACAGUUAAUCAUUUGACGUGUCAGUUGGGGAUGAGGGAUGAUGACAGCCCUUAAUAUUAUAUGGUAGUGUAUUGGGAGGGCCCCAAAAACCAAACGGUAAGGUGACUAUUUGAAGGGAUGAGGUGAAGGAUGUUAGGAACACUUCAAUUAAUCAGGUAGUGCUGGGUACUCCACUGCUGAGUGAGCACAGAAGCAUACAAAGCUUUUAACAGCGAGAGUCAUGUCAUGUUCAGAAGAGAGCUUCAAACCAUGUAUGUUCCAGUGGAUGCCUUGCGCAAGGGUCAGACGGUAGAGCAUUGUGCUUGCAACACCAAGGGUCGUAGGUUUGAAUCCUGCUGGGGCCACUCAUACGUGAAAUGUAUGCACGGAUGACUGAAUCACUUUGAAUAAAGACCUCUUCUAUAUGGCAUAUGCUGUAUGUUAUCAUUCUACUGUAGUAAGGGUAGUUGUAUGAAGAAGGGCAUAUACCGGUAAUGUGAUUAUAAUGUAGUAGUGUCAAUAAUAGAUCCAACUGGUGUCAACUGCAGAACUUUGCGAUAUGCCUUUAAUCCAGUGCUGUUUUAUGGUAGCCAAUAAGAUUGCCUUAUUUUCUUUCGCUGCACACUUUUGACACUCAAAUUUGCACUAUUGUACCUGUAAUUGAAAGGAAUGGAUCAUUGAGAUUUUAUGGUUUUAUAAAUACAAUCAUUUUUUCAAAUGAAUGAUUGGAUCUUGUUUUGUGGUGUUGGAGGUGUAUAUAACAACUAUGCUUGUGGUUGACUUUGCAACAUUCUCCUAGCAGGAAUCAUUUUUUGAAUGUCUCAACUCUUUGGCUUCGUCUCACCAGAUCUCUGUCAAACACUAUACAUUUCAAUAAAAAUGUAAUAUCUGUAAAUCAAUAAAACCAUCCCAUGAGGACAGCCAUUGUUGCAUGUAAGACUUCUUUCUCUUGCCUCAUAAUUAACAGACUGAUAACCACUGCAGCUUUUAAUGUAAGCUUGCGGGAUCAGUGGUUUGCAAGGCUACUCUUUCUCCAGAAUUAAUUUAUGACAUCAGAGUAUAAUGUUUUUUUGUGUGUGUGUGUGUGUGUGUGUUUAUUUUGCUGUAGUUGUGUUAUAACCAUGUCAUUAAAUAAAUUAUAUUUGUAAAGUCACUCUUAAGAUCCCAUGUUAAAAACAUACAACCACAUGAUCUGCUAUUGCA
ensembl:lncRNA